GGUAGAUGCCCUCAAUCAAAAGCCAAUAUGUAAAGGAUGACUCAAAAAUCUUAGUAUUUCUUUUCAAUACCCUGACAUAGACUAUGAGGUGGUAUUAGUUCUGUAUUUAGGUUUCCUACUUUAUGUGUUUCCCAACAGCUACAUCUUUUUGAGGGAAAAAGUUUUGGAUUCCUUGUUUAGAGCAUUUGUAGCAGUGGAGGCUUGCAGCAAACUGGCUGCCAACAAUGCAAAUAGUUCGGCUAAUAUCUCAGGACCACAUGAACAAUAAGCAAUAUGUUGGAAAGGCAGAUUUUCUAGUUUUUUGUGCAAUGGGCCAGCAUGGAUUUCUUGGACAACUGCAAGAAAAGAAGCU